rnacentral:rRNA from 1 species
UACAGAGGGUGCAAGCGUUGUUCGGAAUUACUGGGCGUAAAGCGCGUGUAGGCGGCCUGUUAAGUCUCGUGUGAAAGCCCUGGGCUCAACCCAGGAAGUGCGCGAGAUACUGGCGGGCUGGAGUGACAGAGAGGAUGGCGGAAUACCCGGUGUAGAGGUGAAAUUCGUAGAUAUCGGGUGGAACACCUGUGGCGAAGGCGGCCAUCUGGAUGUUGACUGACGCUGAGACGCGAAAGCGUGGGGAGCAAACAGGAUUAGAUACCCUGGUAGUCCACGCUGUAAACGAUGGAAGCUAGAUGUCGCGGGUAUUGACCCCUGCGGUGUCGACGCUAACGCAUUAAGCUUCCCGCCUGGGGAGUACGGCCGCAAGGUUAAA